rnacentral:snoRNA from 1 species
UUCCAUAUUUACUGGUCUGCAACUGUUCUUAUGAUAGUCAAUGAGUCAGUUCUCUGUGGAAAAGAAACUGUUACACAAUUGAAACCUCCUUUCUAAAAACAUCAACUGGACAUAUGUGUGAUGGAUACAA